CAUGCCUGCAUCCAGGGAUGGUACCAUCUUCCCCAGAGUAACAUGAGUUCUCAGAUGGGAAUUGAGAGCUGUUAGGAAGGUUAAGUUGGGAGGGGAGGGAAUAGAUGCUAGAAAGCAUGAACACGUGAUGGAUGCCCCCUCCAUCCAUGAAUGACAGCUGACAUUGAUAGAGCCCAUGCUGGUUCAUGAACCAUUUGUUAUUUUCCAGGAUGAGAUGAAAAGAGUAAUUGAGGGGAAACUGUCUGUUGAGUUCAAGGAUGGAAGAAGGAUAUUUUAAGAUCUGCAAAGUAUCCAAUAUUUCCUAAGUACCUUUCUCAAAAUGUUGCUAAAGGAAGUGUUCCAGGAAAACAAGUGGGAAAUCCAAAAAAGUGACAGGAUAUUUGGAUAGGAGAUCCAGGAGAGAAGUGAAAGCCUCAGGACAAUUACAAAGGAAAAUCCGAAGACAAUAGUCAUGCUUCAGGCCUUAAAUGAAACCAAUUCAUUUUGAAGCAGGAGAAUGGAGAGUCCAGGAAAAGAGAAGGAGAGCAAGAGGAACAAGGGACACUGAGGAGAAGGAGGAAGAGGAGGAGAAAGGAAAAAAGAAAAGGAAAGAAGAAGAAUGAGGAAAGAAAGACAAAGAGUUUACAUAUCUGUGAAGGUUGAAUCAACUCCAUCUUGGAUGCUAAUCUGCCAUGUUAGCUUCUGAUUAACCCGUUUUGGGAAAGCCUCUGAGAUUUCCAGUUUAUCUGUUGUUCGUCGUGUAAGAGGACUGUACUUCCUGCAAAUCCUGCCCUCAGGGCAAUUUCCUACCUAUUCUCUGUGAAACAUGUAUGCCUCUCCCCUAGAGUAUAUAAUCUCUGGGUCUGGAGGCUAUUGGUGCCGCAGGGAUCCACCAUCUUGUCUUUCCACCACCCAAGACACAGGCAUGGUUUCUGUUCCUAAGCCCCUAUUAAAUAUUUCUUCCUAAGAAA
rnacentral:lncRNA from 1 species